UCUCCGUAGGUGAACCUGCGGAGGGAUCAUUAAAAAGAUGGGUCCUCUGGGACCCUUCAUCCACAAACCUGCGGAAGUGAGAUGUGCUUCGGCGCCUCUGGGCGUCGAGUCUAUGCUGUUUAGCUUUGUGUCUGAAGAAAAACAAAAUUUAAAACUUUCAACAAAGGAUCUCUUGGCUCUCGCAUCGAUGAAGAACGCAGC
rnacentral:misc_RNA from 1 species